UCCUUACGGUAGGUAAAAAAAUUACAAAAAAUAAUCCUUAUUCGCUGUUGUAAUCAUUUAAACUUUUUUUCAAAUGUUAUUUGGAUUACAAAUGAAGUGUUCUUAUAUAAAUACAGACCAAGAUCGCGGCGCUGCAACCUAAUAAAACAUAAAGGUGGCGCUGUAUAUACGCAAGUUACAUGUGAUAUUGUUAUGGAAUAUAUUUAUAGCUACAGAUCUGUUUACAAGUUCCAAUCAUUUAACGUUGUAAUAUUAUCAUUUGUGGUACAUUAUAUGUAUCAAAAUGACGUGUUCUUAAUAGUGCUUUAACAUUUAAUCAUAGUGACAGAAAAGGGAAAGAAAACAUAAUUAACCUUUAAUUCGAAUUUAAAGUCACGUGGAUGGAAAUUCAAAUUCGUAGGCGUUACGUUUUGGCUGUCGGUCAGGAAUCGGGAUGCAUUGAUAAGUGAAUAUUAUAGGUUUUCUUGAACAAAAAGGUAGUUUAAGUGUUGGACAUGCUCUCAAAGGUCGGAGGGACGGAAACACAUGAAUAUGUAAAAAGAAACAUAUGAAAUGAAAAUGAUGUCACACACGCUAUUGGGCGCUACAUAUCCUCCGGACAGACGAGGGGUGCUGAAAGAAGGUCAUAUCUUAAAGCAUCACACCUCAAAAUUCGUGCUAAUUCUCAUGGAUAUCUAAAAGUAUAACUUUGUG